ensembl:lncRNA
GCUGGAGAUGAUAAGCUCAGCUUUAAUCAGACUCGAGAGUGUUUACAAUCCCAAAAUGGCACAAAGUCCCUGCAGCCCCGAGUACUAAACUUAUUACUAACUCAUUAUCUUCUAUCCCCUCUGAAACUCAGACUGAGACUAUCUCUUGUUGUCUCCGAAAUCCAUCUCUGAGCUCACCUGCAGCGCCACGUGACCUGCUGGCUUCUCGCCUGGCUUAGUCAUAACGCGGCAGAGACGCAUGCUGGAUGUGCUCGUUACGCGUCCUCUGCCCUCAGCUCAAGCUAUUAUCUCAGCAGUGGAUGCUAGUUAUAACUAGCAUGAAGAGGAAUGUCUAAGCUGAGCUAGCUCUGUGUGUGUGUCCGGUGAAAUCCGUGCUGUCUAGCUCGUGGAAGAGACUGUAACCAGAGAAGCAGUUACGAUAUUCGAGCAGCACUCGCUAGCUGCAGGCCGAGGGCGUGGGAAUUUAUCGGAUGCUACACAGAGCCGAAUUGUUCCAGACGAAAUGACGUACGUCGAUCAAUUCUGUAACCGCACAGCACUGAUUAACAGUGCUCAAAGUCUAUCCAUGGAGAUAUUUCUCUAGUAACACCUCAUUCACAGGGAUUUGCAGGACAUUAUGUAUUAUUGUAAGAAAGUGCUGCACUGGAGACUCCUUCCAUAAAUGGUACCAUACCAGCAAAAUAUGGUGGGGAAAAAAAAUUGUUGGAUGGCUAUCGAUACCGGUUGAUUCUCAAGGUUUCGUUAUCAGUAUUGAUAGGAGAAAAGAAAAAGUGAUCUCAUGCCAUCUCUGAUGCCACGCACAUGCUGUAACCGUAACACUCUAACCAAUCCCAGCACGUAUCGGCUUCUAACUAGCAUAGCUUACAAUCUGGAUAAGAUUAGUUAUUAUUAGUAACGAAGAGAAAUAAAGAUUGGUUUAACUCUAGUGACGAGGAGGUUGUUUGCAUUCGCUGUAGCUUUGAAGGCAGAAAAUGAAGAGCUGUGGAGCUUCGCGACUAGCCGACUAAUCAGCAUGCAGCCUCAGUUGCACUGAGGCCACAUCACAUACUGGUGAAUGUCCCAGAAACAGACGCGUCCCUAAACAAAUCCUUGUCACUAUAUACAUACAUACACACACAC